rnacentral:rRNA from 1 species
UACGUAGGGUGCGAGCGUUAAUCGGAAUUACUGGGCGUAAAGCGUGCGCAGGCGGUUCGUUGUGUCGGCGGUGAAAGCCCCGGGCUCAACCUGGGAAUGGCCGUUGAAACUGGCGAACUGGAGUGUGGCAGGGGGGGGUGGAAUUCCGCGUGUAGCAGUGAAAUGCGUAGAGAUGCGGAGGAACACCGAUGGCGAAGGCAGCCCCCUGGGCUGACACUGAUCGCUCAGGCACGAAAGCGUGGGGAGCAAACAGG